AGAGUUGAUCCUGGCUCAGGACGAACGCUGGCUGCGUGCUUAACACAUGCAAGUCGAACGCUGAAGCCCUCAGCUUGCUGAGGGUGGAUGAGUGGCGAACGGGUGAGUAACACGUGAGUAACCUGCCCUUCACUUCGGGAUAACCUCGGGAAAUCGUGGCAAAACCGGAUAUGGAGCUCCUGCCGCAUGGUGGGGGUUGGAAAGAUUUAUCGGUGAGGGAUGGACUCGCGGCCUAUCAGUUUGUUGGUGAGGUAAUGGCUCACCAAGACGAUGACGGGUAGCCGGCCUGAGAGGGCGACCGGCCACACUGGGACUGAGACACGGCCCAGACUCCUACGGGAGGCAGCAGUGGGGAAUAUUGCACAAUGGGCGAAAGCCUGAUGCAGCGACGCCGCGUGGGGGAUGACGGCCUUCGGGUUGUAAACCUCUUUCAGUAGGGAAGAAGCGAAAGUGACGGUACCUGCAGAAGAAGCGCCGGCUAACUACGUGCCAGCAGCCGCGGUAAUACGUAGGGCGCAAGCGUUGUCCGGAAUUAUUGGGCGUAAAGAGCUCGUAGGUGGCUUGUCGCGUCUGCCGUGAAAACCCGAGGCUCAACCUCGGGCGUGCGGUGGGUACGGCAGGCUGGAGUGGGUAGGGGAGACUGGAACUCUGGUGUAGCGGUGAAAUGCGCAGAUAUCAGAGAACACCGAUGGCGAAGCAGG
rnacentral:rRNA from 1 species